GUGUGUGUGUCUGUGAGUGUGUGUCAGUGUGUGUGUCUGUGAGUGUGUGUGUCAGUGAGUGUGUCAGUGUGUGUCUGUGAGUGUGUGAGUAUGUGUCUGUGAGUGUGUGUGUCAGUGAGUGUGUGAGUAUGUGUCAGUGUGUGUGUGUCAGUUAGUGUGUGUGUGUGUGUCUGUGAGUGUGUGAGUAUGUGUGUGUUUCUGUGAGUGUGAGUGUGUG